GACGAACGCUGGCGGCGUGCUUAACACAUGCAAGUCGAGCGGUAAGGCCUCUUCGGGGGUACACGAGCGGCGAACGGGUGAGUAACACGUGGGUGACCUGCCCUCAGCUCUGGGUUAAGCCUGGGAAACUGGGUCUAAUACCGGAUAUGACCUUUCCUCGCAUGGGGUUUGGUGGAAAGUUUUUUCGGCUGGGGAUGGGCCCGCGGCCUAUCAGCUUGUUGGUGGGGUGAUGGCCUACCAAGGCGACGACGGGUAGCCGGCCUGAGAGGGCGACCGGCCACACUGGGACUGAGACACGGCCCAGACUCCUACGGGAGGCAGCAGUGGGGAAUAUUGCGCAAUGGGCGGAAGCCUGACGCAGCGACGCCGCGUGGGGGAUGACGGCCUUCGGGUUGUAAACCUCUUUCGACCCCGACGAAUUUGGACGGUAGGGGUAGAAGAAGCACCGGCCAACUACGUG
rnacentral:rRNA from 1 species